UACGGAGGGUGCAAGCGUUAUCCGGAUUCACUGGGUUUAAAGGGUGCGUAGGCGGAUUGGUAAGUCCGUGGUGAAAUCUCCGAGCUUAACUCGGAAACUGCCGUGGAUACUAUCAAUCUUGAAUAUCGUGGAGGUAAGCGGAAUAUGUCAUGUAGCGGUGAAAUGCUUAGAGAUGACAUAGAACACCAAUUGCGUAGGCAGCUUACUACACGAUCAUUGACGCUGAGGCACGAAAGCGUGGGGAGCAAACAGG
rnacentral:rRNA from 1 species